rnacentral:rRNA from 1 species
GAUGAACGCUGGCGGCGUGCCUAAUACAUGCAAGUCGGACGCAUCACUUCGGUGAUGAGUGGCGAACGGGUGAGUAAUACAUAAGUAACCUGCCCUUUCGAGGGGGAUAACUAUUAGAAAUGAUAGCUAAGACCGCAUAGGCAUAUUCACUGCAUGGGGAAUAUGUUAAAUAUCCUAUGGGAUAGCGAGAGGAUGGACUUAUGGCGCAUUAGCUAGUUGGUGAGGUAACGGCCCACCAAGGCGACGAUGCGUAGCCGACCUGAGAGGGUGGACGGCCACACUGGGACUGAGACACGGCCCAG